UCAACAAGCUUUUGUCAUUGUCUGAAAUUUACAUGCGCCGGCUGUAUGAAAACGGAAUUAUUUUUAAUGAGAUCAUCAUCCAGCGGCGUGUCCACGUCCAAUUGCCAUUCGAAGUGCAAUUUUGAAUGCCUGCCUUUGAUUUGCGAGUCGCUAGAUUACAAAAAAUAUUCAUUAAUAUAUUACCCUGUCCUACUGAAGAAUGACCCUGUGCUUUCAAGGACUACAAGACAACUAAUCUUUGAACACCAAAUUGUCUGAUGAUUGAAACUGUAUCAUUUCAGAACAAUUCCUCAUCCCGUUAAGUGUUUGUUAAUUUCCUCUUUUGGGAGAUGAGAAGUGAGCAGAGAUACAACAAACUGCGGAAGAGAGGCUCAUCAUGCAUGAAAUGAAAGAGAGCUUUACCCUCCUGUAGGGGCUGGCGCUGACGUAUUCGCCGAAGGUAAAAGCCGACAUACACUCCACUCACUUAUUGCAUUUUACAUUCCAGUCAGAUUGGCUUCAGCAACGCGUCUCCCUUUA